rnacentral:ncRNA from 1 species
GCAAUCCCACCAGGGUAAAAGUCAGAGCCCUGUAGUUUGGAUAGCAGAGAGGAGGGAAACCGAAUUUUUGAAGCCUAUCGACAAGGUCUCCGGAAAGGGAGAUCACGAGUCAUCGGGCCGUAUCGAGAGAGAACGCGUUGUGGCCUCGAAAAAGUCAGCAACCCGAAGGCCGAGCCCGCGGUUUCAAGGCGAAGGCAGCAUAGACAGCCGAAAUCUGACCGAUGCGGCUGUUCACUUCGGCGGGGUGGAAGCGAC